AUUGAACGCUGGCGGCAGGCCUAACACAUGCAAGUCGAGCGGAUGAAGGGAGCUUGCUCCUGGAUUCGGCGGCGGACGGGUGAGUAAUGCCUAGGAAUCUGCCUGGUAGUGGGGGAUAACGUCCGGAAACGGGCGCUAAUACCGCAUACGUCCUGAGGGAGAAAGUGGGGGAUCUUCGGACCCCACGCUAUCAGAUGAGCCUAGGUCGGAUUAGCUAGUUGGUGGGGUAAAGGCCUACCAAGGCGACGAUCCGUAACUGGUCUGAGAGGAUGAUCAGUCACACUGGAACUGAGACACGGUCCAGACUCCUACGGGAGGCAGCAGUGGGGAAUAUUGGACAAUGGGCGAAAGCCUGAUCCAGCCAUGCCGCGUGUGUGAAGAAGGUCUUCGGAUUGUAAAGCACUUUAAGUUGGGAGGAAGGGCAGCAAGUUAAUACCUUGCUGUUUUGACGUUACCAACAGAAUAAGCACCGGCUAACUUCGUG
rnacentral:rRNA from 1 species